rnacentral:tRNA from 1 species
GGGGUUGUGGCUCAGAGGUAGAGUGCUCAUCCAACACAUGUGAGGCACUGGGUUCAAACCUCAGCACCACA